rnacentral:rRNA from 1 species
AUACGUAGGUGGCAAGCGUUGUCCGGAAUUAUUGGGCGUAAAGCGCGCGCAGGUGGUUCCUUAAGUCUGAUGUGAAAGCCCCCGGCUCAACCGGGGAGGGUCAUUGGAAACCGGGGAACUUGAGUGCAGAAGAGGAUAGUGGAAUUCCAAGUGUAGCGGUGAAAUGCGUAGAGAUUUGGAGGAACACCAGUGGCGAAGGCGACUGUCUGGUCUGUAACUGACACUGAGGCGCGAAAGCGUGGGGAGCAAACAGGAUUAGAUACCCUGGUAGUCCACGCCGUAAACGAUGAGUGCUAAGUGUUGGGGGGUUUCCGCCCCUCAGUGCUGCAGCUAACGCAUUAAGCACUCCGCCUGGGGAGUACGGUCGCAAGACUGAAACUCAAAGGAAUUGACGGGG